GCCGGGUGUGGUGGCACACGCCUGUAAUCCCAGCUACUUGGGGGCUGAGGCAGGAGAAUUGCUUGAGCCCGGGAGGCAGAGGUUGCAGUGAGCUGAGAUCGUGCCACUGCACUCCAGCUUGGCUGUCAAAAAAAAAAAAAGCUCUGAGAUUUAACUCAUACUUAGGAUGUCACCAGUCAGAGAUUUUUUUUUUUUUUUUUUUUUUUAAGACGGAGUCUUGCUCUGUGUCGCCCAGGCUGGAGUGCAGUGGCAUGAUCUCAGCUCACUGCCACCUCUGGCUCCUGAAAUCAAGGAAUUAUCCUGCCCU
rnacentral:SRP_RNA from 2 species